rnacentral:lncRNA from 1 species
AGUUUGCAUAGCAGAAUGCAUAAGCAAAUUAUUAGUUUUUGUACCUGAGGAAAGGCUCAGGUGGGGCUUGAGGCAGACAGACAAGCUUCAACUUCAGCCCAUCACUGACCCACCUAUAAAGCAAUGCUAGUCUCUAAUGCUAGCUAUUUCUAUUUUUUAAAAUGAAGAAGUGAUAGUCUGGAUUUCAUGUGUUAUCUUUAAAUUGCUGAGGAGGAAUUUUUAUAAGAAAGGCCUGGGUAGUCUGGUGGCAGCUGGUUUGUGUCUCUGGUCAAAGCUCUUAGAGUUAGCUGCCACUGGGGUAGGUGGCAUUAUUCUCCCCUGGUUAGUAGACUCUUCAAUGGUCUUGGCUCUAUUUAACUUGCCAGCAUUUUGGCACCACUUUCCCUUUAGGAAACAGAGCUCUAAAUUAUCAGGCCCUCUCUUAGGUUCUUACUCAGCAGAUACUUCUAACGUGGUCUCCUGGUCUGUGAGUCUUCUCCUAUUUGGAUUUCCUAGCUCUUUCCCCUUGAACUUGGCUCCAGCUAUUGCCAAAAUUACAGAUUAAGUACACUUGUCCUGUGUGACGUACUUUUAGCCUGUGGUGUUUAUACUCUGCCCAGAGUGAGACCUGGUUGACAGUGCAGCACCGUGCCUGCCUGAAACAGCUGCUCAUUCUUCUGGUUUUGUGUCUCCCCUGGAUAGUAGUUGGUAUGUGUUUACUUUCCUUCAGUAGCCCCAGGUUCUUGAAUUAGCAAACAUUAGAAAUUGUUACAUAUUUGGCAAGAUGACUUGGUUAUGCCAUUAAUCAAAUGAAACUGUUUUAUUUAAAUGAAAAAUAUUUAAUUUGAGCAUGAACACAUUGAUGUUAUUAAUAUACUAAGUAUGGGUGUGUAUAAAAAGUUUUUUGUGGCUCUAUUCUUUGCUUACUUGGAGGUACCUAGAUAAGCUAAAUAUUAUGAAAGUUGAGGUAACAACGGUGACUUAGAGAAGAAAGUUAGUUAAAAUUGCCUUAUCCAGGCUGAAGCAAGGAUGACACCCGCAGGCUGUAUGUGUUUUACAUAAAUAGGAAAUUUAGUCAACAGACCCUGGGGCUGAAAGCUGACAUAAUUAUCACUAAUACACUUAGUAGUUAUAUUACAGUUGUGGAAAUUUCUUAGAGCACAAAUAAACUUGAUAACAUUAUGGAUGACUCUUUUCCCCUCACCAGGGCUAUGUCAGUGACUGAAAGAUCCAAUGGCGCAGUCCUGACUUAUUCUGUGAUUCACACUGUGAACGCUUAGCCCCGUGCCAACUAGAGAUGUGUGCAUUUGUCUUGUUUCUCGCCACGCUUGGGGCUAGGGCAGAGAAAAUGCAUCGGAAAAUUCUGUUUCCCUACAGACUCUUCCUAGCCGCGAGUGCACUUGAUUGAAAGAAGAUGAACAGUUUGUAGCUGAGCGUUUUUGGGGUCUGUAGGGUUUUUUUUGUUUGUUUUUGUUUUGUUUUGUUUUUGCAGGCAGCCUUGAUGGUUUUCUUGUAUGCAUCCCAAUGGGUGUACUGGAAUUUCCACUGGUUGCUGUCUGUUCUCCUGCAGACAUCUCCCUGGAGAUGGAUGGUGUCAGCUCAUGUGACUAGUGAUGGGUCUGAAGUUGCACUGUCUUGGGAGGCUGAUCUGCUGCCAUUUCUUGUAUACUUACACCGAAGCUUUUGGUAUGUUAUUCAUUUAGGAAGCAGCAAAUAUUCAGAGAGAAUUGGGGCCACUAGCUUUUCACAUAGGAGUUCUAAGAAGGAUCAAGCCCCCUCAGAAGCAGAGUUGGAGAGACAGCAAAUCCUUCAGGAAAUGAGGAAGAGAACAUCUCUCCACAAUGACAACAGCUGGAUCCGACAGCGCAGCGCCAGUGUGAACAAGGAGCCCAUCUGCCUGCCUGGGAUCAUGAGGAGGUGAGACAGUUCCCCAUCGCUUCCUCUUCCCUGUGACGCAAAGGUCUCAUUUGUAGGGCCCCCUCCCUUAGAGAGAGAGAGAGGCUGAGAGAGUCUGGGAGUGGGGGGAGGUCAUUGAGUGCUAUUUUGUGUGUCAUAAUGAGUUGUUGUGUCUAAACUGUCUCAUUUAAGCUGACGGCAAGCAAUGUUUUCAAGUAGACACAGUUACUCUUGUUUUUCUCUGUGAAGAAACUGGUUGAGGCAGAGAAACCAGCUGGGCAAGAUCUCAUUAGGAGGAGGUUCUAAAUCCAAAUGUUGGGUUUUGCAAUGGGAUACAGAUAAUUGAAUACACUUUUGACUCCUGCAUAUUAAACUUGAAGAGAAUGAAACCUACUUAUAUUCAUAAUGAGAUUAAUGGUUAGGUUGGAAUCAUGAUAAUUGGGUUCACAAAAUUGUAUGAAAACAUAAUUUUGUGACUUUUUAGAUGGUAACUGUGUAGAUAUGAAUUAGGUAAGGAUGGGCAUUUGGAGAGGUCUGUCCUGGCAAACAAUCCUGCAGUUACUCUGUUGGGUGUUCUAUCAGCUAAGCAUGGAGACUUACUUGUAACCUGUGUCAGCUACAGAACUAAUUGUCUCGCUAUACAAAUAACUCAUUUAAAACCCACAAGGCAAUCCUAGUAACUUCCUCUACGUUUGUAUCUACAUCUGUCUGUCUCUUUGUCUGUAGCUAAACUGCACAAGCUGUGUGAUAGAUAGUUCAUGGGAACCAGAAACAAAACCAGUACAUACGUAAAAAUCAUCACCACUGUCAGACGGCAGCCUGUCUUCCUGCGUCGAAAGUGUGUACAGCAUUAAGACAUUGAUUUAAACUGGUGCUGGCAACGCAUAAGAAAAUAGGAAUUCUCUUUUCCAACAGCUUCAAUCAAUUUUUUGUGGUGAAUUAAACCAAGUAUACACUUCUUUACCAGGGUGCUAUCUUCUGGAUUCUGUUAAAUUAAGCAAGCAUACAAAGAUAGAGGCAAGGACACACACUAUUGGCAAUGGUGAAAAAAAAAAAAAAAACCAAAGCAGAAAAUUUAAACCACCUCAUCCACAAAACACAAUAUUAUUCUUAAAGGUGCACCUAGUUAAUAGCGGCACAGCAGUUAGAAUGCUGUACAAGUAUUAAAAGGUGCACGGUGCACUGUGUGCAGUCAGCACCUCAGGAGAUAAGGAAGAAAGGGUCCAGUACUCUUGUGCUUUCGGGAUGGAGUGCAUGCUGUAUGUUUUUUCCUCAUUUAGGCAAGCACACCAAAUUUAAAAUAACUCCUCUCCCGUGUGUGAGGGUUGUCUGGUCUGUUCUUUGCCUGGUGUUGGCUUCGGCACUUGAGCAGCCAUGGAUCUGGAGUUGGCGAUUCCUUUUUUUCUUUUAAAUAAAAGAGAUAGUAACGGUCUGGCAGCCCCUCCGCCAUGUAUUCAUUGUUUCUUUAAUGACUCUGAGCAUGUAAAAUGCCCAUGAGUUCCGCAUGUCUUAGCAAUGGCCUUUCUGAAGAGAUCCCUCCUGGGCUCAGCCAGGGCUCUUGAAUUGUAAUUCCCUUCCCACACAGCUGCUGGAGCUACCUCAUGGUGCAGCACUAACAUUCAAAGAGGAAGCUUUCAGAAGACAGUUCCAGACGUGAAAAUGCUUAUCGCUCUCCAUGCAUAUCACAUUUGCCGGUGCCCUAUGCUGUAAAAUAGCCACAUGGUCAACCCCAGGGUCAGUGGGCGGGCACUGAACAGGAGAGCAGACACACAAAAAAAUGAAUGGUUCUAUGGGAAGCAUUGGCUUACAGGCUAUCACGUGAUGAGGCUUUUACGGUUGUAAAAGAAUAAAAACCAUAUUGUUCCCAUUUUGAGGACUUCUAUAGACGCCUGUAGUAACUUACAUAUGCAAAUUUGUAUGUAUGUGUAAUUAUUUCCUUGCAUAUCUGAGAAAAACCUGUAAGGAGUCACAAUUAAGGGUUGCUGCUUUGGAGGAUUAGGGCGAAUGUAGAAAGUAAGGGAAGAAGGAACCCUUGUCCACCCCCAGAAGACCCUUGCUUGCUUCUUGACCUAUUCCCUAUGGAAUUUAUAUUGUAAUGUUGCAUUACUUACAAUGUUAAG